AAAAAAAUCAGGAAACUGGUGCUCAAAAAGGAAAAGUGACUCACCAAGGUCACAGACUAGGCAGUGAUGCUGGGGGAACCUGGCUCAGGGGACACAGACCUGGCCUGGGGCAGCCUUGCAGCUCCUCCACUAAAAUACUGAAAAUGAGGGGCUUCGAUGAUGGUUAUAAUCGUAUGGCAGAGCCCCAACUCAACUGGAGCCCUGGGACCCAGAAGCUAGGGUCUCACUCCCUGCUUUUCCACAAGGCACCAUUAGGGCAUCACCCCAGGCCUCGGCAGCCACGACGCAGGGAUCCUGCCUCUCAUUGGUUGGGGGCUUAGGGGCUCUGGGCUGCCCUCUUGAAGAGGGGGUUCAGCCCAGCGAGGCACCCCCUAUGCUGCACCCCACCAAGGUUAGGAAGAGGUCCUGUCCUCAGUGGGGCCCUCUGAUGAACAGCCCAUCAGGUCUGCGUCCACAUGCCUUGGAAGAGAUGGUGACAUACUCAAAGUCCUUGAAGCCGCAUAUUAAACCACCUAGAGCACCAUCUUCAAACAUUUAGGGUCUGAGAAGAUAGGGGAAGUAAGCAAUUUAAAACAUUUCUUUAUAUUGGGCCAGGUGCAAUGGCUCACGUCUGUAAUCCCAGCGCUUUGGGAGGACGAGGAUCACCUGAGGUCAGGAGUUCAAGAUCAGCCUGGCCAACAUGGAGAAACCCCAUCUCUACUAAAAAUACAAAAAUUAGCUCAGGCGUGGUGAUGUGCACCUGUAAUCCUAGCUAUUCAGGAGGCUGAGGCACAAGAAUUGCUUGAGUCAAUAUUGCACCACUGCACUCCAGCCUGGGCAACAGCGAGACUCUUGUCUCAAAAAAAAAAAAAGAUAUUUGCUGAAAAGACCCAGCCUGCCAAACUCAGGGGCAGCCAAGGGAGGUAGUGAAAUGGAAGUUGGAGCUCAGCGCUCCCUCACCUCCACUGCCCUCAGGCCUUCUCUGCCUCUUUCCCAUCAGUCAGCUGCUUCUGGGCAUGGUCCUGGCAGAGACUUGGCCUCCUUCCAGUUCAAGCUCCCUCUUAGAUUGUGUCCCACGCCACUGAGUCUCUGGGACACUGGGUCAGUUGUCUAGUCUGGCACAAUUGGCAGGAAUCCCAAGAAACAGUGUGAGUGAGGGGACAGUCGUGUUGAGUGCCCUCCAUCUGGGACUGGGAGGCAGGUCUAUGUCAGGCCUGCAUUUAGAUCUCUAAUAGCUCCAGACAAGCCCCUUCAGCUCACUAAGCCUGUUUCCUAACACAGCUGUGGGAUGGUGCUUUGGUUUACAUAGCACGCGAUACCAUCAUAGAUCACAUGGGGAAACUGAGGCCCCAGGAGUGAUCUGCUGGCACAUGCAGUGACAAGAGGAGAGGCCCAUCUCAGCCUUGCAGCAAGGUUGCCAGAAAUCGAUUCUCGCCCCCAUCCCGUAAAGCCUCUCUGCAUCACCUGCUUCCCACAGCAGCAGCCUGGGCCUCCAAAGGGCACAUUCAGAUUUGAGGGAUUUGGGGAGUUUGUGGGCAAGGGCAGACUACUAUGGGCUUUUGGGUGAACCCCAAGGGAAUGCAAAGAAGCCCCCUGCCAUUCUCCAUGAAUGGAGCUGAAUGCCCUAGCCCCCCAUUCUUCCACGUGGGAGUAUCCUCUUGAGAGUCCUGCUGGCUGUUGGUCAAGGCAGGUUAAAAGCUGAGGCUUAAAGUAGCCAGGGGUAGUGGCUCCCGCCUGUAAUCCUAGCAACUUGGGAGACUGAGGCAAGAGGAUCAAUUGAGCUCAAGAACUGGAGGCUACAAUGAGGUAUGAUCACACCACUGCACUGUACUCCAGCCUUGGGGAAAGAGCAAGACCCUG
rnacentral:lncRNA from 1 species